ACCAAUUAUAUAUUAUUUUUAAUAUAAUUGGUGGUGGUGUGCUCAUUUAUAUUAAGUAUAAUAUAUAAUUGGUGGCGGUGUCCUCAUUUAUAUUAUUUUAAAUAUGAAUGAGGACACCAUCACCAAUUGUGAAGUUUGCCUAUCGGGCCUACAUUUAUGUAUAUUACUAUAUUUGGUUUUAUUUUCUAAUGAAAGAAUUUUAUUUUAAUAGUACCAUCAGCAACAUCCAUAGCAAGUAUUUCAGCCACCGUACCACAGAAAUGUUCAGGUUCAAAUACUAGUCUUCUUGUUGGAUUGACGUUUCUAAGUUUCUUUUUGGGAGUCCUUUUAUCUUCAUCUAUAUCUGUCGUCCUCGGAAAGAUCAGAAAUCCAAAGGCACAGGUAACCAAAGGAACAUCCAGACAUUACGAAGAACCGGUGGAUCUCCAAGCAACGCCCAGAGAUAAACAAGCAUUGGCUUACAUGUCAUAUAAACGUGAUUCGAGUGCAGAGGAAAAGACAUAUGAAGAUCUAGAGUGGAAUGAUGACAACCCAGUUGCUUAUAUAAACGUCAAAGCAAACAAAGAGAAUACUUAAAAUUACUAAUUUGAAUGUAGCACCAAAUUCAGUAGACUAGACUGGUUAGUAAACGUAAAAUUACAAAGAUUAUGAUGGUCGUCGAUAAACUCUUGGACUCUAUGACGGAAAUGUAUUUUACAGAAGGAAACGAUACACAUAAUACCGUAGUUAUGUAGACCUAGAUUUUAGCUCAGGUAGAUGGCGACCGAAACCAUUAUUUAUGCUUGCCUAAGAAACAUUUUUUUACUCAUAUGAACUUGACCGAGUAGUGCUUGUAGCACAGAUAAUUGUCAAUACUUAAAGACAGAAAUAUGAUGUAUAAAAAAAACGAUGUUUAAACCGAA